rnacentral:rRNA from 1 species
AGAGUUUGAUCAUGGCUCAGAAUCAACGCUGGCGGCGUGCCUAACACAUGCAAGUCGAACGAGAAAGUGGAGCAAUCCAUGAGUAAAGUGGCGCACGGGUGAGUAACACGUGACUAACCUACCUUGAAGUGGGGGAUAACCUCGGGAAACCGGGGCUAAUACCGCAUAAUCCCGAGAGGGCAAAGGAGCAAUUCGCUUUU